rnacentral:rRNA from 1 species
GACGAACGCUGGCGGCGUGCCUAAUACAUGCAAGUAGAACGCUGAAGGAGGAGCUUGCUUCUCCGGAUGAGUUGCGAACGGGUGAGUAACGCGUAGGUAACCUGCCUGCUAGCGGGGGAUAACUAUUGGAAACGAUAGCUAAUACCGCAUAAGAGUAGAUGUUGCAUGACAUUUGCUUAAAAGGUGCAAUUGCAUCACUACCAGAUGGACCUGCGUUGUAUUAGCUAGUUGGUGAGGUAACGGCUCACCAAGGCGACGAUACAUAGCCGACCUGCGAGGGUGAUCGGCCACACUGGGACUGAGACACGGCCCAGACUCCUACGGGAGGCAGCAGUAGGGAAUCUUCGGCAAUGGACGGAAGUCUGACCGAGCAACGCCGCGUGAGUGAAGAAGGUUUUCGGAUCGUAAAGCUCUGUUGUAAGAGAAGAACGAGUGUGAGAGUGGAAAGUUCACACUGUGACGGUAGCUUACCAGAAAGGGACGGCUAACUACGUG